UAACAAGGAUUCCCCUAGUAACUGCGAGUGAAGCGGGAAAAGCUCAAAUUUAAAAUCUGGCGGUCCUUGGCCGUCCGAGUUGUAAUCUAGAGAAGUGUUACCCGCGUCGGACCGUGUACAAGUCUCCUGGAAUGGAGCGUCAUAGAGGGUGAGAAUCCCGUCUUUGACACGGACUACCGAGGCUUUGUGGUGCGCUCUCAAAGAGUCGAGUUGUUUGGGAAUGCAGCUCAAAAUGGGUGGUAAAUUCCAUCUAAAGCUAAAUAUUGGCGAGAGACCGAUAGCGAACAAGUACCGUGAGGGAAAGAUGAAAAGAACUUUGGAAAGAGAGUUAAACAGUACGUGAAAUUGCUGAAAGGGAAACGCUUGAAGUCAGUCGCGUCGUCCGGGAAUCAGCCUUCCUUCUGGUUGGUGUACUUCCUGGUCGACGGGCCAGCAUCAGUUUUGACCGGUGGAGAAAGUUCGAGGGAAUGUGGCACCUCCGGGUGUGUUAUAGCCCUCGUUCGUAUACAUCGGUUGGGACUGAGGAACUCAGCACGCCGCAAGGCCGGGAUUCGUCCACGUUCGUGCUUAGGAUGCUGGCAUAAU
rnacentral:rRNA from 1 species